UCCGUCUCUCAUCUGAGGUCGGCAAGUGUGAUAACAACUGAAUUGCGUUCACAUGGUAGGUUCCGGGCAGCAUUCACAUGAGAGCUCCCUAACCAGUUCUCGCUCAUUUAUACCCUCGUUUUGUCGUUCCUCGCUCUCUCCUCACACCUAGCAGGUUGUGACCACAUGAAGCUUCCCCAUGGUUGGGCCAAAGCAAACCUGAGUAGCGGCCGGAGCUCCCCCAUGAUAGCGGCUGGUGGCGAGCCCCUUCCCCCUCGCAACGGCAUCAUCUCCACCCCAUCACCAUGCAAAUCCAUGGCGUCUUCCUCCACGGCUACCACGGACACAACGUCAUCCCUACCCCUUCGCCAGAGCUCAUCCAGGCGUGGGCAUCGGUGGUGGCAAGCGGCUUCCUCCACGGCCAUCUCGCACGGGGCGAUUUGAAGUUUUUUGUCUAUUUUCUCCAUUUAGUCCCCUGAUUUGUUCUGUUUAAUUGGUGAUUUGUUCAUUUCUCCUUUUAUUUCGAUGCUCACGAUGGUUAGGAUUUGAUUCAUGGUGUAAUUUCUUUGUGUUUUUAGGGUCCGAUAGAAUUGGAGUAGAGGGAGCCUGGUGGGGGAAUCGAGAAUUUGCGAUCUGAAGUGGACAAGCAGAAUUUCGAGAUGGGCUUAUAUCAUGGAGAAUUCAUGCUACAGUAAAAUUGGACAUAUCUAGUGUGGCACAGGUGAAGUGUUGUGAAGCUUAAUGCUAUGGAAAUCAAGUCUAGUGUUGGACUUCAAUAAGAACUAUACUGUCUACGAAGAAACUUGUGAAAAUAUCAUGUCCUUGUUCUGUUGUUCAGCACUUGUGGUGAUCUUUGUCUUGUUUCUCUUAGGUACUAGUUGGAAACUUGUGAAAAUUAGAGAAUUGUACUUCAACCUUUUUGAUUGAUAUAUUUCUAGGAAAAGCACAACCACCAAGAAUAUUGUACAUAUCAAAGUGAUUUUCCAUUUUGUUUGCAACUAUUCUAA